UACGAAGGGGGCUAGCGUUGCUCGGAAUCCCUGGGCGUAAAGGGUGCGUAGGUGGUGAGGUAAGUCGGAUGUGAAAUCUCCGAGCUCAACUCGGAAAUGGCAUUGGAAACUACCUUGCUCGAGGGUUGGAGGGGGGACUGGAAUACUUGGUGUAGCAGUGAAAUGCGUAGAUAUCAAGUGGAACACCAGUGGCGAAGGCGAGUCCCUGGACAACUCCUGACACUGAGGCACGAAAGCUAGGGGAGCAAACAGG
rnacentral:rRNA from 1 species